rnacentral:tRNA from 1 species
GGGAGAGGUGUCCGAGUGGCCUAAGGAGCGCAUCUGGAAAGUGUGUAAGUUAUAAACUUCAAGGGUUCGAAUCCCUUCCUCUCCUU